CCUGAUCCAGCCAUGCCGCGUGUGUGAAGAAGGCCUUUUGGUUGUAAAGCACUUUAAGCGGGGAGGAGGCUCUUCUAGUUAAUACCUAGGAUGAGUGGACGUUACCCGCAGAAUAAGCACCGGCUAACUCUGUGCCAGCAGCCGCGGUAAUACAGAGGGUGCGAGCGUUAAUCGGAUUUACUGGGCGUAAAGCGUACGUAGGCGGCUUUUUAAGUCGGAUGUGAAAUCCCUGAGCUUAACUUAGGAAUUGCAUUCGAUACUGGGAAGCUAGAGUAUGGGAGAGGAUGGUAGAAUUCCAGGUGUAGCGGUGAAAUGCGUAGAGAUCUGGAGGAAUACCGAUGGCGAAGGCAGCCAUCUGGCCUAAUACUGACGCUGAGGUACGAAAGCAUGGGGAGCAAACAGGAUUAGAUACCCUGGUAGUCCAUGCCGUAAACGAUGUCUACUAGCCGUUGGGGCCUUUGAGGCUUUAGUGGCGCAGCUAACGCGAUAAGUAGACCGCCUGGGGA
rnacentral:rRNA from 1 species